GCAGAGCCGGAAGACCCUCUCUUUCGCUGUUUGAGAGUCUCUCGGCUCAAGGACCGGGAGGUAAGAGGUUUGGGACUGCCCCGGCAACUCCAGGGUGUCUGGUCCACGACCUAUCCUAGGCGCCAUGGGUGUGAUAGGUAUACAGCUGGUUGUUACCAUGGUGAUGGCCAGUGUCAUGCAGAAGAUUAUACCUCACUAUUCUCUUGCUCGAUGGCUACUCUGUAAUGGCAGUUUGAGGUGGUAUCAACAUCCUACAGAAGAAGAAUUAAGAAUUCUUGCAGGGAAACAACAAAAAGGGAAAACCAAAAAAGAUAGGAAAUAUAAUGGUCACAUUGAAAGUAAGCCAUUAACCAUUCCAAAGGAUAUUGACCUUCAUCUAGAAACAAAGUCAGUUACAGAAGUGGAUACUUUAGGUUGGAGUGCCAUGGUGUGAACUCAGCUCACUGCAACCUCUGCCUCCCAGGUUCAAGCUAUUCUCCUGCCUCGGCCUCCCAAGUAGCUGGGACUACAGGCACCUGCCACAAUGCCCGGCUAAUUUUUGUACUUUUAGUAGAAGCGGGAUAGUCUUGAACUCCUGACCUCAGCAUUGCAUUACUUUCCAGAAUACCAGUGGCUGGUGGAUUUCACAGUGGCUGCUACAGUUGUGUAUCUAGUAACUGAAGUCUACUACAAUUUUAUGAAGCCUACAC
rnacentral:lncRNA from 1 species